UGACUAGGGAUUGUCAUACCCUGUGAAGACAUGAAGAAGGAACAUAGGAAGGUUUAUUUCCUAAAAUGUCAACUAGGGGAUGGCGCCCUAUGAAGACGAAAUAAGAUGUCGACUAGGGGAUAGUGCCCUAUGAAGACGAAUAAGAUGUCAACUAGGGAAUAGUGCCCUAUGAAGACGAGUAAGAUGCCAACUAGGGGGUGGUGCCCUAUGAAGACGAUUAAGAU
rnacentral:lncRNA from 1 species